rnacentral:tmRNA from 1 species
GGGGGCGUACUGGUUUCGACUGUUAGUUCGAGGCACAGGCGGCAUGUCGAGGAAGCCUGGUUGGCCUCGUUAAAAUCCCGGGCAAAACAAAUAAAUGCAGAUCACGAAGAUCUCGCUCUCGCGGCCUAAAUAACCGCGACGUACCCGACGCGACGCCUGCUAGCGGCGGGGACGACGACCAGCAGGCUGGCCCGAGGGCGGAGCGACCGCGCCCGCGGGUGAGAUCGUUUCGUGGACGAUCGGGGGUGGGCAAUAUGCCCGUCUAUCGCACACCCCUUAAACUGAGGACGAAGCUAAACAUGUAGAUGCUUGUGGCGAGAGCCAUCAGGACAGGGGUUCAACUCCCCUCGCCUCCACCA